UUUGGCCUCUCCCUUAUCUUCACUGAACCUCUUAUCAAAGUUAUUAGCCCGACAAUGUAAGCCGGGUCUGGAUAAAUAAAAUUGACCCGAAGUCAAACCCAACUGAUUCUGGGUAUAUUGAAACAAAAUCUAAUGGUUAAACAUAUUGGUUAAUUAUAGCAUCUCUAUGAAUCUUUGUACAACAAAUGUUGGACUAGGCAAUGAAAGAUGAUGGAAACUAAAUUCACCAACCAAAUUUGUUUUUGGGCAUAGCCGUUAAUGACCCUGGUGGUAUUUCUGUGCUUCUAUUCUACAAAUAGAAUGGAUGAAGAUAUACAAGUUUAGCAAGUAAUCUAUCUAACAGCUUCAAAAUACUUGUGUUUUGUUAUUUGUUAUUUGUUAUUUCUUUUAAUAGUUAAGAGCCAGUUUUGCUAUGCCCAUAUAAUCCUAGUGCAAAAAGAAAAAUAAAAUCCAUCUAUAAACUCUUAUUGAUUAGGCCGCAAUUGUUUAUUCUUCAGCUAGAAAGCAUUAUGGGUUCUGUCAUAAAGGAUGGUUCUUCUUGUUUUCUGAGUUUCUGCUGUGUUUUCAUCCUUGUUCAUCCUUUUUCAUGUGAUGCACAAGAACUGAAAGCAUGUGGAUUGGAUGCAAUAUAUCAAUUUGGAGAUUCAAUUUCAGAUACAGGCAAUGCUGUUCUAGAAUUUUCUAUCCUUCCUUAUGACCAAUUUCCCUACGGCAUAACAGUUAACAAUGCAACUGGUAGACCUUCAGAUGGACUACUUAUGGUUGAUUACAUUGCACAAGCAGCUGGUCUUCCAUUUGUUGAACCAUAUGAAAACCCAAAAUCCAAUUUUUCCCAUGGAGUAGAUUUUGCAGUUGCUGGUGUAACUGUUGUGACAGCAGAAACUCUAGUUAAAUGGCAUAUCCCACUUUUGUCACUAACCAUUCUCUAACAUUGCAACUUGGGUGGUUUGAGAAGCACUUGUCAACUAUCUGCAGUGAUCCUAAAGAUUGCCAAGAGAAACUGAAGUCAGCCCUCUUUAUGGUUGGGACAAUGGGAUCUAAUGAUUAUUUCCUUGCAUUGAGUCGAAAUAAAACCCUUGAGGAGAUCAAGAACACCAUGGUGCCUGUAGUGGUGCAGACCAUAACGGAAGUUGCCAAAAAACUUAUCGGCCAUGGUGCUGUUCGAGUGGUUGUCCCUGGACUUCAUCAAUUGGGUUGUUCACCAGGCAUACUUACAGCAUUUGAGACCAAUACAUCUGUUCAUGAUGCACAAGGCUGCCUGAAAGAUUUCAACGACAUGUUUGUGUAUCACAAUGAUCAUCAGCUCUUGAAGGAUUGAGAAAAGAAUUUCCUAACGUGCAUGUCGUAUAUGCUGAUAACUACAGUGCACUGCAAUAUAUCAUAGACAAUUUGUCGAAGCUUGGAUUUAAAGCAUUACGAGAAGCCUGUUGUGGAACCGGAGGAAAAUACAAUUACAGUGUUGAUCAAUUAAAGUUUGCCUGUGGACUUCCUGGCAUACCAUAUUGUUCAAACCCUAGAGAACAUGUCUUUUGGGAUGGAGG